AAAACAAAUCUUAUUAUACUUCUAUUUUGCAAUUUUCGCCGUUAAAAAGUCAGGCUUUCAGAAACUGGGAGGGCUUCUAAAGACAAAAAUAAGGUAUCCACAAAGAAUCUAAGGAGAGUUGUAAAUUUAGGAGGUUCUCAAUCCAAGAAAAAGCAAUCAUCAAAUGGAUAAUAGGUAUAAUUUAAUAAGGCAGGGCAGCGGUUUGUGGAGAUCCCUAAGAGAUGGAGACUUCGAAGAAGAGGAGG
rnacentral:misc_RNA from 1 species